GGAGAUUUAGGGUGGAGGGCUGCAUCAAGAAGGGAAGUCAGGGUUCUAAUUUUAGCUGUAAUUCAGCUUUUGAAUACAAUCCUCUAACAUGCCCCUACCUUGCAUUUAGACUGUGGUUUUCGCAGUGUUCUUUGACGUACCUUGUCUGUUGUUCACAAGUCUUGACAGAUGUCUGAGAUGGCUAAUAGCUGCAGUUCUCCGAUGAAAAAGGGGCUCAGAAAGCUUAACUGAUUUGCCCAAGGUCAGAAGCUUGGAGGACAAGUGAACCCAGAACUAGAACUGGUUCCUCUUAAUAUUCUUUCCACCGCACCCCUCUGCCAGCCUUUUAUAUUCUGCUUGGGACAUUUGGAUCUGUAUUCAUUCCUCUUGCAAACAUCCCGCAUCCUUAUCAUUUGUUUAAUUAGCCAGAAACCAAGAUCAAUCCAUCAAACUGGAGGUUGACAGCUGGCUUGCCUUUCGUCCUCAUCUCUUUUUCAAGCCCCCUGCCUGGCUUCCGGCUACACAGAUGACAGGACAAAUAAUAGGCAGUGUAGUCCCUAUUCUGGCGGGAGUGUGUGGUCUUGGGGUUACAAAGUUUAACAUGCCUCCAGGGACCAGGUAGGUGUCAGGACUGGGUGAAGCCGGCAGGGUGGGGACUGGGGUACAGGUUAGGGGAACAUCGGUCCUUCUAAUGCACCAGCAGAUAGUGUAGCCCGAUUUUAGGACUCACUAAAGAAUGAGAAUUGUAUAUGAAAUCAGAGGAGGAAAACAUAACAUUUACAGCAGGGUCUUCUGCACUUUUGUUGCUGUUCAGUGGCUCGGUCAUGUCCAGCUCUUUGUGACCCCAUGAACUACAAGUUUUGUCCAUUCACAUGAAAAGUGAUCAAACUGCACACCAGACCUCCCUGUCUUUCACCAUCUCCCAGAGCUUGCUCAAACUCAUGUCCUUUGAGUCUGUGAUGCUAUCCAACCAUCUCAUCCUCUGUUGCUCCUGUCCCUCUCACCCUCAGAUUUUCCCAGCAUCGGGGUCUUUUCCAGUGAGCUCUUCCCAUCAGGUGGCCAAAGUACUGGAACUCCAGCUUCAGCAUCAGUCCUCCCAGUGAAUAUUCAGGGUUGAUUAUCUUUAGAGUUGACUGGUUUGAUCUCUUUGAAGUCCAAGGGACUCUCAAGAAUCUAUUCCAGCACCACAGUUCAAAAGCAUCAAUUCUUUGGCGAUCAGCCUUCUUUAUGGUCCAGCUCUCACAUCCAUACAUGACUGCAUGUCAUCUGGCUAACAUGGAGCAGUUGGAGGGCAUGUGCCUGCUAGUCAGGGCCUGACAAAACGUGCUCCACUGGAGAAGGGUAUUGCCAACCACUUCAGUAUUAUUGCCUCAAGAACCCUAUGAACACAGUGAAAAGUAGCUCCAUGGACUUGGGCAAAUUAGUCUCUGAUAGCCUCGGUUUCCUUAUCUGUAUAAUAGGGAUUUAAAAGACCCACCUCCUGCAUUCUUGAAUGAGGUCCUGUCUGUUGAGCCUUGAUUACACACACAGAGUUGGGCACUUAGUAAGAACACAACCAAUGGUGGCUUUUGGAUUCAACAGAUCAUUCCCUGUUCCUGUGAAAGGUGAUAAGACAUUAUGCCAACCCUCUGUUUUUGAGGCUCUGGCCUUUGAGGUCUCUGUGUUAAAAGAGGUUAGUCAAAGGAAAACAAGUGAGCAUUCUAGCUUAAAUGAAGAGGAGAAAGUUGAUAGUGAUGGACAAGACAAGGUAGCCCUAAGAAACUAGAUCCUGGAUGUCAGGGCUGAAAGAGGGGCGGCAGCUUAGAAUGAAUGGAAAUAACAUUAAUGAGAGAGCAGGGGAAAGGCAGAUGAGUCUGCCUUGACUCCUAGGAUUGGCUGAUUCACUUCUUAAACCAGUUCACAGUGAAAUUGAUCAAACUGCAAAAACUCUAUGAAUUCUGAAAUGAAUGGCUGUUUUUACCUUUCACACAAUGAGUAGUAUAAUAAAUAGAGUGCUCUAUGGUUUUCAAGGCAAUUUUAAGGCUCCCACUGUGUGAAGUGUACUUAGGCAAUAUGCUUUACACACAUUAUCUUUAUACAUAUCAUUCAUUCACUCAUUCAUUCAUUCAUCCAUUCAGCAGAUACUGCCAGCCCACUUUCUGCCAGGCACUCUGUGGGGUAUAAGGAAUAAAGCAAUGUAGUACAGUGGAAAAAACACCUCACCUUCUGAGAAAUGUGCUAAGAGCUAACAUUUGUGUUUACAGAAGAGAAAACUAUAAACUCAAAGUGCUUAAGUGGAUGUUGCCUAGACUCCAAGCCGGUGUUAGUGAAGGAGGCAAAAGUCCUGACUUCGUUGUUUUUUGGUUGAGGAGAAGAAAACUCAAGUUUCCUUGAUGACCUAGGGACAUAAAUAUGAGGACGUUUAUAACUUGCUAACAGGCUGGGGAUAUUAUAUUCAAUCACAUUUGGCACUGUUGGAAUUUUCAGAGUAUCAGAGAGACACGAUUUUUAGUGUUUACUCCUAAGAGUGACUGAAAACGACUAAUUAUUGUCAGAGUCUAUGACAUGUAUCCUUGGGAGACAAUGUAAUUAGGGAAGGGAAGAGAGAAAUGAAAGGAAGAGAGAGAGAGAAAGAGUAAAGACGAAUAAAGUGGCUAGAAACUUAACGGAAAGUCAAAGAAAGCCCAGAUGAAAACCCUUUUAAACUCUUUUCAUUGUCCUUAAAUUAUUCUCUAAUUAUUUUCUACGCGUCAUCUUUGAGUAGAGAGAAGGUCUUUUUCCUCCACCGUAUUUCCUAGCAUAGCUUAAUUAAUACUUGAUUGAUUGAAAGAUCGACUCAUUUGAACCUGGAGUGAAAUGAAGCUUUUUAAUUUUCUUUUCUGCUGAACCUGAAAUAGAACAUAUAGUAAUUAGGGAAGGAUCCCUUGUUAUCAGAAAGUCACAGGCACGAUGAGCAAUUUGUAACAGAGCAAAAGGAAGGUAGAUGAUUAUUUGGGACCUGAUAAAGCAUACUCCCCACUCCCUACUGCUUUCAGUGAUAUGCGAGUUUCUUGAUCAUUAUUUCCUCCUUGAGAGUUUCUUGGCUAGGGAUCUGUCUGGACAGUGGGCUAAAUGGUGGGUAAAUGUCAUCAGAGUCUGACCACAGAGGUGACUGAUGGCCUCUUCUCUAUGCCUUUCAUUACCCUGGCUCUCUCCUCCAAAACCUGGAUUGACUAAUUUACAUUUUUUUCAAGAUCUCUUGAGUUAAUCAGCAUUUCAUUCAUUCACUCAUUCACUCAUUCAUUCAUUCAGGGACAUGUUCAACUCUGGGCAUCUAAACAGAAUAAAACAGGCAAGGACCCAGUUCUCACUGAACUCAUUUAGCAGAGCAGGCAGACAGUCCCUAAAUGCAUACGCCACAGUGACAAGAUCACUGCAUGUGAAUGAGAAACUUCAGAGUAGGAAGAACUACCAGGGCUGUAAGACAGGGUGGUGUGGAAGAGAUCCACUGGGGGCUUGGCUUCUCGGAUGACUUCGUUAAGCAGGGCUUCCUAUUGAACUAACAUCUAAGGUUACAGUAAGUAGAAAUGCCUUUGUGUGGAGCUCUGCAUGUUAUGAAGCUGUUGAUCACGCCAAGAUCUCAGAGAAAAUGGACUGACGGGAUUAACAAGUUCCUGCAGGGUGGACAACUCUGAAGUAGGUGUGUCCAGGGCAUGGUGAGUGAGGAGGGGAGUACAAGACAAGAUUAGAGAUGGAGGCAGGGCCAGUGAUGGAGGCAUGUCUGGGGUACGGCAAGGAGUCGGUUUGACUCCACAGGCAUUGGGAAGCCGUGGUGGGUGGGGGCAACGUGAUCUGGCUCACGUGGGGAGAAGAGGCCAUAAACAAGGAAUAGCAGAACCAGAGAGAAUGGUUAGGAAGCUGAGCGGUGAUCCAGCCGAGGGGUGACGGCGAGCUAGCCACGACAUGGAGAGAAGUGGACACAUGUGGGAUAUGUUUUAGAGAGAGAGGCCGUGGGAGUGCUGAGGGGUGGGAGUGCUGUGAGAUCAGGGGGCGUACAUGAGCCUCCUGGGGCUUCUGUGAUGAAGCACCACAGGCUGGGCCCUUUAAACCACCCAAGCGGGUUGCCUCAUGGUUCUGGGAGCUGGAAAUCUGAGAUCAAGGUGUUAGGAGGGUUGGGUCCUUCUGAAAGCCAUGAAGAGAGGAUCUGUUCCAGGCGCCUCUCCUUGGCUUGUGAAUGGCCAUCUUCUCUCAGCGUCUCUUCAUGCUGUCUUCCCUCUGUGCAAGCCCACCUUUAUGUCCAAUUUCCCCUUUUCAUAAGGAAACCAGUCAUGUUGGAUUAUAGACCCACUUUACUCCAGUAUGACUCAUCUUAACUAAUUUAUUGAUACAUCUCCAAAAUUGCUGUGUCCAAUUAAGGUCAUAUUUUGAGAUACUGGUUAGCUCUUCAACAUAGACAUAUACUCUAUAUGUGUGUGUGUGUGUGUGUGUGUGUGUGUGUGUAUAAUUCUUUGUGCUGUUCUGCCUUUUUAAUUUUUCAAAGAAAACAAAUAAUUAUAAUAUAGUCACACAAGGGCUGUGAUGGUAGGUUAUUGGCUCCAGGAGAGCUCAGAAGAGAAAGAAAUGGGUUGGGGGAGGUUUUCGGGCAAAGGACUGGCAGCUACAGAAGACCUCCCAGUGGAGUUGGAAGGACAAGGAGUUCCCCUGUGAAUGCACCGAGGGGAGAGGUGAGAAGCCGCUCCAGGCAGAUGGAACAGAGCACGUGGCAGUGCGAGAGAGCAGGAUGCUUGGGAGAGCCUGAGGGAGUGUGGCAAUGGAGGCG
ensembl:lncRNA